rnacentral:pre_miRNA from 1 species
AAUGUAUGACGCCGUUAACUUUUUGUUUGACGUUUGAUCAUUCGUCUUAUUUAAAAAAUUUAUGUAAUUAUCAUUUAUUUUAAUGUGACUUGAUUCAUCAUCAAAUGUUCUUUAAGCAUGGCAUAAAUAUUUUUAUAUUUACACAAAAAUUUUGAAUAAAACGAAUGGUCAAACGUUAGUCGAAAAGUCAACGGUGUCAUACAU